rnacentral:rRNA from 1 species
UACGGAGGGUGCAAGCGUUGUCCGGAAUCACUGGGCGUAAAGGGCGCGUAGGCGGCGACGCAAGCGUGCGGUGAAAGCUCGGGGCUCAACCCCGAGUCGGCCGUGCGAACUGCGUUGCUUGAGCACUGUAGAGGCGGGUGGAAUUCCGGGUGUAGCGGUGGAAUGCGUAGAGAUCCGGAAGAACACCGGUGGCGAAGGCGGCCCGCUGGGCAGUGGCUGACGCUGAGGCGCGACAGCGUGGGGAGCAAACAGG